GACGAACGCUGGCGGCGCGCCUAACACAUGCAAGUCGAGCGAGAACCGGGGACUUCGGUCCCGGGGACAGCGGCGAACGGGUGAGUAACACGUGGAUAACCUGCCCUCGGCACCGGAAUAGCCCGGGGAAACCCGGAUUAAUGCCGGAUAGCCCCACAUCCUCGAGAGGAAGUGGGAAAAGGUAGCUUCGGCCUCUGGCCGAGGAUGGGUCCGCGGUGGAUUAGCUUGUUGGCGGGGUAAUGGCCCACCAAGGCGACGAUCCAUAGCUGGUCUGAGAGGACGAUCAGCCACACUGGGACUGAGACACGGCCCAGACUCCUACGAGAGGCAGCAGUGGGGAAUCUUGCGCAAUGGGCGAAAGCCUGACGCAGCGACGCCGCGUGA
rnacentral:rRNA from 1 species